rnacentral:rRNA from 1 species
UACGAAGGGGGCGAGCGUUGUUCGGAAUCACUGGGCGUAAAGGGCGCGUAGGCGGCCCUCUUAGUCGCGUGUGAAAGCCCCGGGCUCAACCUGGGAACGGCGCGCGAAACGGGAGGGCUGGAGUUCGGGAGAGGAGAGUGGAAUUCCCAGUGUAGAGGUGAAAUGCGCAGAUAUCAGGAGGAACACCGGUGGCGAAGGCGGGUCUCUGGGCCGAUACUGACGCUGAGGAGCGAAAGCGUGGGGAGCGAACAGG